UUUCCCUCUUUCUUUAGGCCUAACACAUGCAAGUCGAACGGCAGCACAGUAAGAGCUUGCUCUUACGGGUGGCGAGUGGCGGACGGGUGAGGAACACAUCGGAAUCUACUUUUUCGUGGGGGAUAACGUAGGGAAACUUACGCUAAUACCGCAUACGACCUACGGGUGAAAGCAGGGGAUCUUCGGACCUUGCGCGAUUGAAUGAGCCGAUGUCGGAUUAGCUAGUUGGCGGGGUAAAGGCCCACCAAGGCGAAGAUCCGUAGCUGGUCUGAGAGGAUGAUCAGCCACACUGGAACUGAGACACGGUCCAGACUCCUACGGGAGGCAGCAGUGGGGAAUAUUGGACAAUGGGCGCAAGCCUGAUCCAGCCAUACCGCGUGGGUGAAGAAGGCCUUCGGGUUGUAAAGCCCUUUUGUUGGGAAAGAAAAGCAGCAGGUUAAUACCCCGCUGUUCUGACGGUACCCAAAGAAUAAGCACCGGCUAACUUCGUG
rnacentral:rRNA from 1 species